rnacentral:rRNA from 1 species
UCAAGCUAAUAAGGGCGCAAGGGGGAUGCCUUGGCAUUGGUAGCCGAUGAAGGACGUAGCGAUCUACGAUAAGCCACGGGAAGUCGAAAGCAGGCAAUGAUCCGUGGAUUUCCGAAUGGGGAAACCCGGCAGAGCAAUACUCUGUCAACUCCUUGUGAAUAAAAUAGCAUUGAGUAGGGAACCUCCUGAACUGAAACAUCUAAGUAGGGAGAGGAAAAGAAAUCAACCGAGAUUCCGCUAGUAGUGGCGAGCGAACGCGGAAGAGGCCAAACCAGCGGUAGAAAUACCGUUGGGGUUACGGACUAGUACAAGUAUCGCAGAGUCUAGCUGAAGUGUGUGGGAAAGCACGCCGAAGAAUGUGAGAGCCAUGUAAGCGAAAGACGAAGCGAGCGACUAGAAUCCAGAGUACGGCUGGGCACGUGAAACCCGGUCGGAAGUCGGGGGGACCACCCUCCAAGCCUAAAUACUACCCAGUGACCGAUAGCGUAUAGUACUGUGAAGGAAAGGUGAAAAGGACCCCGGGAGGGGAGUGAAAUAGAACCUGAAACCUUGUGCCUACAAGCACAUAGAGCACAUCAACGUGUGAUAUGGUACCUUUUGUAGAAUGGUCCGGCGAGUGAAUGUCACUAGCGAGGUUAAGGACUUAAGGUCUGCAGCCGAAGCGAAAGCGAGUCUUAAUAGGGCGAUAAUAGUUAGUGGUAUUCGACCCGAAACCGAGUGACCUAGCCAUGAGCAGGCUGAAGUGGAGGUAAAACUCCAUGGAGGGCCGAACCCACUCCCGUUGAAAUGGUAGGGGAUGACUUGUGGCUAGCGGAGAAAUUCCAAUCGAACUCGGAGAUAGCUGGUUCUCUCCGAAAUAGCUUUAGGGCUAGCCUCAAAUAACAUUACCGCAGGUAAAGCACUGAAUGGGCUAGGGGGCGAAAGCUUACUGAACCCUAUCAAACUAAGAAUGGCGGAUAAUGAAUAUUUGGGAGUCACACUACGUGAGAUAAGUUUCGUGGUGGAAAGGGAAACAGCCCAGACCCACAGCUAAGGUCCCAAAGUACAGUUAAGUGGAAAAGGAUGUGAAGUUGCGCAGACAACCAGGAUGUUGGCUCAGAAGCAGCCACUCAUUCAAAGAGUGCGUAAUAGCUCACUGGUCGAGUGAUUUUGCGCCGAAAAUUUAACGGGGCUAAACUGUACACCGAAGCUUGGGAAUAUACCUCUGGUAUGUUGGUAGGAGAGCGUCGUAUGCGGGGUGAAGUCGUAGCGAAAGCGGCGGUGGACUGCAUAGGAGUGAGAAUGCCGGAAUGAGUAGCGAGAAUUAUGUGAGAAUCAUAAUGGCCGAAAGACUAAGGUUUUAGAAGGAAGGUUCGUCCGCUUCUAGUUAGCCGGGAGCUAAGGCGAGGCCGAAAGGCGUAGUCGAUGCACAUACGGUUGAGAUUCCGUAGCCACCUUAAAUUUAAACUAAGGGACACAUUGAAAGGGAAUAACCCAGGCGUUGGUUGACCUGGGCGUAAGGGAACGAAAAUAAGUAGUGAAGUAUUCUUGGACAGUGGCGAGAAAAGCUUAGUGUAUAUUAUUAGGGUGCCCGUACUGCAAACCGACACAGGUAGUCAGGAAGAGAAUUCUAAGGCCAUCGGGAGAAGCGUUGUUAAGGAACUCGGCAAAUUGACCCCGUAACUUCGGAAUAAGGGGUGCUCACGCGAGUGAGCCGCAGUGAAUAGGUCCAGGCAACUGUUUAUCAAAAACACAGCUCUCUGCUAAAUCGUAAGAUGACGUAUAGGGGGUGACACCUGCCCGGUGCUGGAAGGUUAAGAGGAGGAGUGCAAGCUCCGAAUUGAAGCCCCAGUAAACGGCGGCCGUAACUAUAACGGUCCUAAGGUAGCGAAAUUCCUUGUCGGGUAAGUUCCGACCCGCACGAAUGGUGUAAUGAUCUGGACACUGUCUCAACAACGCACCCGGCGAAAUUGUAGUACCGGUGAAGAUGCCGGUUACCCGCGGCAAGACGGAAAGACCCCAUGGAGCUUUACUGUAACUUAAUAUUGGGUCUCGGUACUUUAUGUACAGGAUAGGCGGGAGACUUGGAAACUAGCACGCCAGUGUUAGCGGAGUCAUCCUUGGGAUACCGCUCUUAAGGUAUUGAGAUUCUAACCUGCAGCCUUGAAUCAGGUUGGGGGACAUUGUUAGGUGGGCAGUUUGACUGGGGCGGUCGCCUCCAAAAGAGUAACGGAGGCG